rnacentral:rRNA from 1 species
CAGCAGCCGCGGUAAUACGUAGGGUGCAAACGUUAUCCGGAUUUAUUGGGCGUAAAGCGCUCGUAGGUGGUUUGAAAAGUCAGAUAUUAAAUCUCCAGGCUCAACCUGGAAAAUGUAUCUGAAACUUUCAAACUCGAGGUAUGCAGGGGAAGAUGGAACACACGGUGUAGCAGUGGAAUGCGUAGAUAUCGUGUGGAACGCCAAAGGUGAAGACAAUCUUCUGGGCAUUACCUGACACUGAGGAGCGAAAGCGUGGGUAGCGAACGGGAUUAGAUACCCCGGUAGUCCACGCCGUAAACGAUGCAUACUAGACAUUUGGGGUAUCGACCCUCCGAGUGUCGAAGCUAACGCGUUAAGUAUGCCGCCUGGGUAGUACGGCCGCAAGGCUAAAACUCAAAGGAAUUGACGGGGACCCGCACAAGCGGUGGAACAUGUGGUUUAAUUCGACAAUAAGCGAAGAACCUUACCAGGACUUGACCUCUCUGGAAUCUCCUAGAAAUAGGAGAGUGCCUUUUGGAACAGAUGACAGGUGCUGCACGGUCGUCGUCAGCUCGUGCUGUGAAGUGUCGCGUUAAGUCCGUUAACGAGCGCAACCCCUAUUG